GCCACCUGCGUAUAUACAACAACCUAAAUCAAAAGGUUCGUACGAGAAGGCAAACAACUUCAGUAUGGCUGUAAUCCAGGGCAAUACAAGGUUUCUUUGCUUGAUGGCACUUCUGCUGAUUUCGACCACUUUGUUGUCGAGUCAAGCAUCAGGGAUGAACCUAGGCACGGAAUCCAACAUUGCUGGCUUACUGACGGAAACCAACGCUGGCACUGAGGGGAAACAUGAACCCUACGCUCCCCCAUGUGUUCCUGCAGAUUGUAAUACAAUCUGCCAGCGAGAUACCCACACUGCUGGCCAUUGCCGUCCAGAUGGUUGCUACUGCAGCUAGAUCACACUAUGUGGGGCCGCAGAAAUUUGUAUUAAGAAAACAACUAAACAAUAAAGUUAAUUAUGAAAUAUAAAGCUUCUUUCGAGAA